rnacentral:lncRNA from 1 species
AAAUAACAAGAGAAGAGAACAUCCAAACCUGUUCUUAGUAGGAAUUAAUACAUUGUUCAUAGUAAAUCAUUUUCUGCCAUCCUUCCUAAGAAAACCAGGCAGGCAGUCAUUCCCGAGGACCAGGAGAAGGAGGAGGAGAGGCAGAUUGGGACUGAGAACCACUCACCAGAACAACAUGGGGUGGCAUUUGGCCUGCUGACUAAAACUAACAGGAUGUGCCCAGAAACACGGACACCUCUUCUGUCUACAGUCCUGUAGCCAGCAGGUCUUUCAUUUUCUUUUGCAUCAGUUUGCUGAGUGUAUACUCUGUGUGCCCCACCACUGGCACAAGAAAAGGUGACAUGAGAGGGGGGAAUAGGAAUAUAUGUCGAGAUGUUGAUGUGAAUGUUUCUGUGUUUAGACAUCCUGGAUAAGCUUUGCUGUCAAUGCUGAUUUGUGGAAACAUGACCUACAAUGGAUUUCCUGCAACAGUUGCAACAAGUGGUUCCAUCAGGGAUGCGUCACCUCUCCAGCAGUGGACAAAGAAUAGCUCUUUCCUGUUUGCAUUGUCUAAAGUGUUGUAAAUUAAUGUAAAGCGUUCUCAUUGUUUUUUUUAUUUUGUUGUGUUGAAUUUUUUUUAUACUUUAUUUAUAUUUCUGCUGUAUGUUCAAUUGAUUUUAUUAAAAUUGUACAUAGUUCCAUUUUGAAUUUGAAUUAAAUUAUUUUAAUUUAAUUGCUGUUGCAUAAACUUGUGAAUUUAUAUUUAAGAAAUUAUAUUUAACCCACAUUACACUAUUUAUCAAUAUGAAUAUCUUUAAACACGUGAAAUGUUAAUUUUGGUUUGAGAUUUUUUUGAAUGCUC